GACGGCACUGGAAAUAGCCCUACUGCCUGGGAGGAUUGCAGUGCUGGGGAUGCCAGACUUUGAUGAAAGACAGAACCAUGGAGCCCUGGGCUUAGACUCACACAAGGUUCUUGGGUCUGAAGGAACUCAGAACUAAGGUGAUACACACGGGACUCUGUGUAUUUGCAGCCCUCUUCUUCCUUGGACAUGGGAAAUUUGGUCACAGAGACAGACGAGCACAGAAGGAAGAUGACCUGAAGACACACAGGCCAUGUGACUGGAAUGAUGCAACUACAAGCCAAGCAACAGCCAGGAUUGCCAGCCACCAUCAGAAGCUAGAAGAGGCAAGGAAGAAUUCUCUUCUAGAGCCAUGAUAGGGCUUGCUGAUACCUUGAUCUUGGACUUCUAAC